CUGAAAACCACUUCAGGAUAGAUGAAUCUCUUAGGUUUUAUCAUAGGAUUUAGAGUUGAAAGGUACUCAGAGGUCAUCUGGCCCAACCAUUUUCAUUUCUAGAUGAAGUUAAGGAUUAAGAUGCUGAGACUGCCAUAAAGGAUGAAAACUUUAGAGUCAAACAUCACUUAUCAAGGUCACAUAGCUACAGAAAUUAAUGGCAGAGCCCAGUCUUCGAAUAAAUACAACAGAGAAAAGAUGAGACAUAUUAUAAUGGACUAAGUAACCUUUGAGGGACUCAAAGGGAGCAUUCUAGGACAGUCACCGCAUUAUUUCCCACUCCGCUACUUUCCUGGACUUCACCAUCUUCAGAAACUCAUCAUUCUGUAACAUGAAAUCAACUUGCAAACUCACACCUUCUCAGAUCAUGUCUCAUCCUGGCUGCUUGACUUCAUCACACAGGGUAAGCCCCACUUCCUAAGCUCAAAAUUUCAGCCUUCUUUUGUGUA
rnacentral:lncRNA from 1 species